rnacentral:rRNA from 1 species
AGAUUUGAUCAUGGCUCAGGAUGAACGCUGGCGGCGUGCUUAACACAUGCAAGUCGAACGUGAGGGUGCAGCGAUGUGCCUGAAAGUGGCGAACGGGUGAGUAACACGUAGAUGACCUGCCCUGGAGUGGGGAUAACCAUUGGAAACGGUGGCUAAUACCGCAUACAUCCGGAGAACUGGGAAGUUUUCUGGGGAAAGCUCUGGUGCUUCAGGAGGGGUCUGCGUCCGAUUAGCUAGUUGGUGGGUAAAGGCUCACCAAGGCGACGAUCGGUAGCUGGUCUGAGAGGACGAUCAGCCACACGGGAACUGAGACACGGUCCCGACUCCUACGGGGGGCGAGCAGUGAGGAAUAUUGGGCAAUGGGCGGGAAGCCUGACCCAGCAACGCCGCGUGGAGGAAGACGGCCUUCGGGUUGUAAACUCCUUUUGUACGGGGAAGAGAGAGGACGGUACCCGUCGAAUAAGUCACGGCUAACUACGUG